rnacentral:rRNA from 1 species
GGGUGCGAUCAUACCAGCACAAAUGCACCCGAUCUCAGUAGAACUCCGCAAUUUAGCGUGCUUGGGCG